rnacentral:rRNA from 1 species
UCUUUGAACGCAAGUUGCGCCCAAAGCCAUUAGGUUGAGGGCACGCCUGCCUGGGUGUCACAC